GUGUUGUAUGAAAGAGAGAAGGUGCGCAGUCCCCUUGACAAGGAGGGACGAGGCUGUUGGGCCUGAUGCCAUGCACACGGGCAGGGCAUUGCUGCCUCCCUGGCGGCCCCUGAGCAUCAUCUUUU
rnacentral:ncRNA from 1 species